rnacentral:rRNA from 1 species
UUCUUUAAGUCAUAAAUUAAAGUAAUUCCUGCUCAAUGAUUACAUUAAAUAGCCGCAGUCAUCUGUGCUAAGGUAGCAUAAUAAUUUGCUCUCUAAUUAAGAGAUAGAAUGAAAGGACAAACGGUUUACAACUAUUUCAUUACAAUAAAUUAACUUAAUUUUAUUGUAAAAAAUCAAUAAUUUUAAUUAAAGAAAGACGAUAAGACCCUAAUAAACUUAUCAAUUAGUUGGGGCGACAAAUUAAAAAAACCUUAAUUUCAUUUACAUAAAUAAUAAAAUUAAAAAAGUCUAGUUACUAUAGGGAUAACAGCGCAAUUUCUUUUAAGAGAUCUCAUCAAAAAAGAAGUUUACGACCUCGAUGUUGAAUUAAUUUACAAACUGGAGCAAUAUCCAUAAAAGUUAGUCUGUUCGACUAUUUAAAUAUC